AAAAGCAGAAAUCUCCCUUUGCUUCUGUUCCCAGAGACAACCAUGAUCUCACCCUGAUUGCAGAGUUCUCAGAAUGCCACAAGUUCAGUAGGAACCUGCCAAAGGUCUGAGCGAGGGAGAGAUGCAGUCAGCGUUGGGCUUACACUUUAUCCUGCCCUUCUCUUUUCAGAGGGUUGCUUUUACCCAAAGCAGUGGAAGAUCGUGGUGUGCAAAGAACAGACAUCGGAAACCUUGGAAGUGGGAUUUAUUUCAGUGAUUUGCUCAGGAAUAUUCCCUCAGAUUUUGAGGCAAUAAAGAAAGCAAGUGAAUGGGUAAGAAGAACUGAAGGACAGUGCCCAUCUAUCUGCCCAUGGCUUGAACUGGGGAAAGACUGGGACUCUGCCACCAAGCAGUUGCUGGGACUCAGCCCACAGACACUGUGUCCCCUCUUCAUAGAGUCCUUCAUUACAGUCAAGGCUAAAUCAAAUGAAACUGAAUUUUAAACUUUUUGCAUGCUUCUAUGUAGAAAAUAAUCAAAUGAUAAUAGAUACUUAUAAUGAAACUUCAUUAAGGUUUUAUUCAGUGUAGAAAUUAGUGUCUUUAAAAAUAAAGUAAGUGGAAGUAGAAUUACUUUAAACAACUAACAAGCAAUAAUAAAAUGAAACUUAAAAUAUUUCA